rnacentral:piRNA from 1 species
CAGCAGCACAGAGAAUUGCACGGUGU